rnacentral:rRNA from 1 species
AGUGAACGCUGGCGGUAGGCCUAACACAUGCAAGUCGAACGGCCGCACAGUAAGAGCUUGCUCUUACGGGUGGCGAGUGGCGGACGGGUGAGGCAUACAUCGGAAUCUACUUUUUCGUGGGGGAUAACGUAGGGAAACUUACGCUACUACCGCAUACGACCUACGGGUGAAAGCAGGGGAUCUUCGGACCUUGCGCGAUUGAUUGAGCCGAUGUCGGAUUAGCUAGUUGGCGGGGUAAAGGCCCACCAAGGCGACGAUCCGUAGCUGGUCUGAGAGGAUGAUCAGCCACACUGGAACUGAGACACGGUCCAGACUCCUACGGGAGGCAGCAGUGGGGAAUAUUGGACAAUGGGCGCAAGCCUGAUCCAGCCAUACCGCGUGGGUGAAGAAGGCCUUCGGGUUGUAAAGCCCUUUUGUUGGGAAAGAAAAGCAGCAGGUUAAUACCCCGCUGUUCUGACGGUACCCAAAGAAUAAGCACCGGCUAACUUCGUG